UUGAAGAGUUUGAUCAUGGCUCAGAUUGAACGCUGGCGGCAGGCCUAACACAUGCAAGUCGAACGGUAGCACAGAGAGCUUGCUCUCGGGUGACGAGUGGCGGACGGGUGAGUAAUGUCUGGGAAACUGCCUGAUGGAGGGGGAUAACUACUGGAAACGGUAGCUAAUACCGCAUAACGUCGCAAGACCAAAGAGGGGGACCUUCGGGCCUCUUGCCAUCAGAUGUGCCCAGAUGGGAUUAGCUAGUAGGUGGGGUAAUGGCUCACCUAGGCGACGAUCCCUAGCUGGUCUGAGAGGAUGACCAGCCACACUGGAACUGAGACACGGUCCAGACUCCUACGGGAGGCAGCAGUGGGGAAUAUUGCACAAUGGGCGCAAGCCUGAUGCAGCCAUGCCGCGUGUAUGAAGAAGGCCUUCGGGUUGUAAAGUACUUUCAGCGGGGAGGAAGGUGUUGUGGUUAAUAACCGCAGCAAUUGACGUUACCCGCAGAAGAAGCACCGGCUAACUCCGUGCCAGCAGCCGCGGUAAUACGGAGGGUGCAAGCGUUAAUCGGAAUUACUGGGCGUAAAGCGCACGCAGGCGGUCUGUCAAGUCGGAUGUGAAAUCCCCGGGCUCAACCUGGGAACUGCAUUCGAAACUGGCAGGCUAGAGUCUUGUAGAGGGGGGUAGAAUUCCAGGUGUAGCGGUGAAAUGCGUAGAGAUCUGGAGGAAUACCGGUGGCGAAGGCGGCCCCCUGGACAAAGACUGACGCUCAGGUGCGAAAGCGUGGGGAGCAAACAGGAUUAGAUACCCUGGUAGUCCACGCCGUAAACGAUGUCGACUUGGAGGUUGUGCCCUUGAGGCGUGGCUUCCGGAGCUAACGCGUUAAGUCGACCGCCUGGGGAGUACGGCCGCAAGGUUAAAACUCAAAUGAAUUGACGGGGGCCCGCACAAGCGGUGGAGCAUGUGGUUUAAUUCGAUGCAACGCGAAGAACCUUACCUACUCUUGACAUCCAGAGAACUUUCCAGAGAUGGAUUGGUGCCUUCGGGAACUCUGAGACAGGUGCUGCAUGGCUGUCGUCAGCUCGUGUUGUGAAAUGUUGGGUUAAGUCCCGCAACGAGCGCAACCCUUAUCCUUUGUUGCCAGCGGUCCGGCCGGGAACUCAAAGGAGACUGCCAGUGAUAAACUGGAGGAAGGUGGGGAUGACGUCAAGUCAUCAUGGCCCUUACGAGUAGGGCUACACACGUGCUACAAUGGCGCAUACAAAGAGAAGCGACCUCGCGAGAGCAAGCGGACCUCAUAAAGUGCGUCGUAGUCCGGAUUGGAGUCUGCAACUCGACUCCAUGAAGUCGGAAUCGCUAGUAAUCGUAGAUCAGAAUGCUACGGUGAAUACGUUCCCGGGCCUUGUACACACCGCCCGUCACACCAUGGGAGUGGGUUGCAAAAGAAGUAGGUAGCUUAACCUUCGGGAGGGCGCUUACCACUUUGUGAUUCAUGACUGGGGUGAAGUCGUAACAAGGUAACCGUAGGGGAACCUGCGGUUGGAUCACCUCCUU
rnacentral:rRNA from 1 species